AUUGAACGCUGGCGGCAUGCCUUACACAUGCAAGUCGAACGGUAACAGGUCUUCGGAUGCUGACGAGUGGCGAACGGGUGAGUAAUACAUCGGAACGUGCCUAGUAGUGGGGGAUAACUACUCGAAAGAGUGGCUAAUACCGCAUGAGAUCUACGGAUGAAAGCAGGGGAUCGCAAGACCUUGUGCUACUAGAGCGGCCGAUGGCAGAUUAGGUAGUUGGUGGGAUAAAAGCUUACCAAGCCGACGAUCUGUAGCUGGUCUGAGAGGACGAUCAGACACACUGGGACGGGGACACGGCACAGAGUCCGACGGGAGGCAGCAGUGGGGAAUUUUGGACAAUGGGGGCAAGCCUGAUCCAGCAAUGCCGCGUGCAGGAUGAAGGCCUUCGGGUUGUAAACUGCUUUUGUACGGAACGAAAAGCCCCGGGUUAAUACCCUGGGGUCAUGACGGUACCGUAAGAAUAAGCACCGGCUAACUACGUGCCAGCAGCCGCCGUAA
rnacentral:rRNA from 1 species